rnacentral:rRNA from 1 species
UACGAAGGGGGCUAGCGUUGCUCGGAAUCACUGGGCGUAAAGGGUGCGUAGGCGGGUCUUUAAGUCAGGGGUGAAAUCCUGGAGCUCAACUCCAGAACUGCCUUUGAUACUGAGGAUCUUGAGUUCGGGAGAGGUGAGUGGAACUGCGAGUGUAGAGGUGAAAUUCGUAGAUAUUCGCAAGAACACCAGUGGCGAAGGCGGCUCACUGGCCCGAGUACUGAC